rnacentral:lncRNA from 1 species
UUGUUUGAGCACCGCAAACAUUCAUGCACACGCAUGACUUUUGCAUUAUUAUGAUUCUUUAGUCUGGUCAGGUCGGGAGAAGGCAUCUUCUGUGCAUUCGUCGACAUUUUCGGAACGGGUUCCCGCAGCAGUUUUUUUUUCCCGCAGCAGUACGAAUUAGAAACUCUCCUCGAGAUCGAUCAACGGCCGUUGCGGAACAUUCGGCCUCACCUGACAGGACCACAAUCCUCUGCCUCGGUACAUUUGCGUCGGGGGCUGCGCUGCGAUGGUGCCCAAAAGCAAAACAUCGGAAAACCAUCCCCACGGUCAACAUUUCCGGCAGGCUCACUAGAGAGCGCGAGGAUGAUUAGCAAAUAACGUCAUGAUACUGGUUAUCCUGGCCGUGCAUUCGGUGCACGGAACUCCGUACGGUUGUCGCACUUCGGCGUUGAAUCUGCAAGUUCCUAUACACUUGGCAAACCUCGAUUCAUUGCAUUAUGCCUUACUUCCGUGACUUAUUCCGGGUGCUUCGUGCCAAUGCAACAAUAAUCAACAUUUCGAAAAUAUA